UACGUAGGGGGCUAGCGUUGUCCGGAAUCAUUGGGCGUAAAGCGCGUGUAGGCGGCCCGGUAAGUCCGCUGUAAAAGUCAAAGGCUCAACCUUUGAAUGCCGGUGGAUACUGUCGGGCUAGAGUCCGGAAGAGGCGAGUGGAAUUCCUGGUGUAGCGGUGGAAUGCGCAGAUAUCAGGAGGAACACCAAUAGCGAAGGCAGCUCGCUGGGACGGUACUGACGCUGAGACGCGAAAGCGUGGGGAGCGAACAGG
rnacentral:rRNA from 1 species